UGGGGAAUAUUGGACAAUGGGCGCAAGCCUGAUCCAGCCAUGCCGCGUGAGUGACGAAGGUCUUCGGAUUGUAAAGCUCUUUUGCCAGGGACGAUAAUGACGGUACCUGGAGAAUAAGCCCCGGCUAACUUCGUGCCAGCAGCCGCGGUAAUACGAAGGGGGCUAGCGUUGUUCGGAAUUACUGGGCGUAAAGCGCACGUAGGCGGAUUUGUUAGUCAGGGGUGAAAUCCCGGGGCUCAACCUCGGAACUGCCUUUGAUACUGCAAGUCUCGAGUCCGAUAGAGGUGAGUGGAAUUCCUAGUGUAGAGGUGAAAUUCGUAGAUAUUAGGAAGAACACCAGUGGCGAAGGCGGCUCACUGGAUCGGUACUGACGCUGAGGUGCGAAAGCGUGGGGAGCAAACAGGAUUAGAUACCCACGUAGUCCCUGAGCGGGCUGGCAAGGCGCAU
rnacentral:rRNA from 1 species